CUUGACAGUAAAUGGGCGGGGCUUCGUGCCGCAGUAUUAUAUGGUUGUUUAGCGGGCGCUGGGGAGCCAGAGCUUCGCUAGAGCCAUGUGUGCCCAAGCCAACGAUUGGCAGUCGGCCAAAUCCAUUUACAAGUUCUCAGCCAAAGACAUCGAUGGAAAUGAAGAGUCACUGGAGAAAUACAGGGGUUAUGUGUGCAUCAUCACUAACGUAGCCUCUAAAUGAGGUAAGACUCCCGUAAACUAUACUCAGUUUGCGGAAAUGCACGCCACGUACGCUGAGAAAGGUUUACGGAUCCUGGGCUUCCCCUGCAACCAGUUUGGAAAGCAGGAGCCUGGAACAGAGGCGGAGAUCAAGGAGUUUGCCAAAGGCUACAAGGCAGAGUUUGACCUGUUCAGUAAGAUCGAGGUGAACGGAGACGGAGCUCAUCCGCUCUGGAAAUGGAUGAAAGCGCAGCCCAAAGGCAGAGGAACUCUGGGGAACAACAUCAAGUGGAAUUUCACUAAGUUCCUCAUUGACAGAGAAGGUCAGGUCGUGAAGAGGUACGGACCCAUGGACGAUCCAAGCGUUGUUGAAAAGGAUCUUCCCAAGUACCUGUAGCCCUCGGGAUUGAACCCGAUCUCCGUCCCGUGUGUCUGUAGAUGCCGGUCUCCUCUCUGGACGAUGGCUGGACGUUGGCGUGUGAAGCCCAGAUCUGUGACGGCCGUUCCUCAAGCCUGUGCUCAGGAGGGGACGGCCUGAUGUCCUCCGGCGUGUAUUUCUCUGGGAAAAGCCUCCGAUGUCCAGCCUCGGGAGCAGAGAGGAGCUCCAGUCACCAUGCACUGAAUCACUGAAGAAGGUUUUCUGAUGAGCAGCUGUAAUGAUUAAAGAGUAGCAUCACCA